GCAAACUUGGUCAUUUAGAGGAAGUAAAAGUCGUAACAAGGUUUCCGUAGGUGAACCUUCGGAAGGAUCAUUACAGUAAUGCGAGGCCCAGCGCCGCCAUUAUUACACCCUUGAUUUUGAGCACCUUUGUUUCCUCGGCGGGUUCGCCCGCCAGCGAGGACCCCCAUGAACUCUUUGUAUAAGCAGUUUUUGUCUGAAAAUAAACCAAAUAAUCAAAACUUUCAACAAUGGAUCUCUUGGUUCUGGCAUCGAUGAAGAACGCAGC
rnacentral:misc_RNA from 1 species